GACGAACGCUGGCGGCGUGCUUAACACAUGCAAGUCGAACGGAAAGGCCUGCUUUCCCUUGUGGAUUGCGGGUACUCGAGUGGCGAACGGGUGAGUAACACGUGAGUGAUCUGCCCCCAACUUGGGUAUAAGCCUGGGAAACUGGGUCUAAUUCCCGAUAGGACUGCAGGGUGGUGCCUGUGGUGGAAAACGAUUUUCUAGUGGUUGGGGAUGAGCUCGCGGCCUAUCAGCUUGUUGGUGGGGUAAUGGCCUACCAAGGCGGCGACGGGUAGCCGGCCUGAGAGGGUGGACGGCGACAUUGGGACUGAGAUACGGCCCUGACUCCUACGGGAGGCAGCAGUGGGGAAUAUUGCACAAUGGGCGGAAGCCUGAUGCAGCGACGCCGCGUGGGGGAUGACGGCCUUCGGGUUGUAAACUCCUUUCGACCGCGAGGAAGCCACCUGGUUGGAAGGGUGGUGACGGUAGUGGUAGAAGAAGCACCGGCUAACUACGUG
rnacentral:rRNA from 1 species